rnacentral:rRNA from 1 species
UACGUAGGGGGCAAGCGUUAUCCGGAAUUACUGGGCGUAAAGCGCACGCAGGCGGUUUGCCAAGUUUGGAGUGACAGUUGUCGGCUCAACCGACAAAGGACUUCAAAAACUGGUGAACUUGAGGACGAGAGAGGAACAUGGAACUCCAGGUGUAGUAGUGAAAUGCGUAGAUAUCUGGAAGAACACCAAUGGCGAAGGCAAUGUUCUGGCUCGUUUCUGACGCUCAGGUGCGAAAGCCAGGGGAGCGAACGGG